rnacentral:rRNA from 1 species
GUAGGGUGCGAGCGUUAAUCGGAAUUACUGGGCGUAAAGCGUGCGCAGGCGGCUUUGCAAGACAGAGGUGAAAUCCCCGGGCUCAACCUGGGAACUGCCUUUGUGACUGCAAGGCUAGAGUACGGCAGAGGGGGAUGGAAUUCCGCGUGUAGCAGUGAAAUGCGUAGAUAUGCGGAGGAACACCAAUGGCGAAGGCAAUCCCCUGGGCCUGUACUGACGCUCAUGCACGAAAGCGUGGGGAGCAAACAGGAUUAGAUACCCUGGUAGUCCACGCCCUAAACGAUGUCAACUGGUUGUUGGACGGCUUGCUGUUCAGUAACGAAGCUAACGCGUGAAGUUGACCGCCUGGGGAGUACGGCCGCAAGGUUGAA